GGCGAGGAGUGACAGCUAUUACCCCUGGGCCAACUAUGAGCUUGGGAUCGAGAGUCAAACAGCAACUCAGGAAGGGCCCAAGCAAGACCCGUGGCAAUCAGAUGAUGGGCCAUUGGACCGCUGCCCUGUUUGUUCUCUGUGGCUUCUCGUUCAGAAGCUGGCAGCGCAGUGCAGAGGGCGAGGGAAAGCCAGCUGGGGAGACGCCGGUUCCUGAGCAAGCAGGCAUCCUGUAAUCAAAGAGC